GGGGUAUUAGCUCAGCGGUAGAGCAACCGGCUUUUAACCGGCUGGCCGAUUGGUUCGAAUCCAUCAUGCCCCACCA
rnacentral:tRNA from 2 species